CGGCAAGAGCUCAAAUUUGAAAUCUGGCCCUUUCAGGGUCCGAGUUGUAAUUUGUAGAGGGCGCUUUGGCGUCGGCCCCGGCCUAAGUUCCUUGGAACAGGACGUCACAGAGGGUGAGAACCCCGUACGUGGCCGCCGGCCUUCGCCGUGUAAAGCCCCUUCGAC
rnacentral:rRNA from 1 species